rnacentral:lncRNA from 1 species
AGGAAGUGUGAACUUCUCAAGGCAGUUACCUGCUUACCAAAGUCUGCUCAUUGAACUGUUCUGUAUCAUAUUCCCGUGAACAAGUACCCCAAGGAGAAGAGUGAGGGCCGAGAUGUUGCUGAAUGGUCAGUGAACUUCAGCAGAAGUAAGGAGCUCUGUUUCUUAGAGACAAAGUGCCAAAGAAGCCUGCUUGCAAUAUGACAGGUACUCAUCUGUACUGAGCGGAUCUGCCCGUGCCCCUUCGAGGAUCCCUUCCGUCCCUCCCCACCAGCGUUGUUGGGGGAUUAAAGCGGCGGCGGCCCCAUACACAAACGCAGCUGGUUCCGUUUGGUCAGCCUGAGCCUUGCUGUGAAACCACGACAAGAAUUCCAGUAAGUUGGCAACACUGAAACACAAAGAAAACAACAAUAGGAAAAGUCCUUCCGUGCAGAAAGGAAUGUUUCAAGCGCUGUUCUCC